GAUGAAGAACGCAGCGAAAUGCGAUAAGUAAUGCGAAUUGCAGAAUUCAGUGAGUCAUCGAAUCUUUGAACGCACAUUGCGCCCUGUGGUAUUCCGCAGGGCAUGCCUGUUCGAGCGUCAUUUCAACCCUCAAGCUCUGCUUGGUGUUGGGCCCUGCCCGCUGCGGCCGGCCCUAAAGACAGUGGCGGUGCCGCCUGGCCCUGAGCGUAGUACAUCUCUCGCUCCAGUGCCCGGUGGUAGCCUGCCAGAACCCCAACUCUCGUGGUUGACCUCGGAUCAGGUAGGGAUACCCGCUGAACUUAAGCAUAUCAAGAAGCGGAGGA
rnacentral:misc_RNA from 1 species